rnacentral:misc_RNA from 1 species
GAUGAAGAACGUAGCGAAAUGCGAUACGUAAUGUGAAUUGCAGAAUUCAGUGAAUCAUCGAAUCUUUGAACGCACAUUGCGCCCGCCAGUAUUCUGGCGGGCAUGCCUGUUCGAGCGUCAUUUCAACCCUCAAGCCCAGCUUGGUGUUGGGGAUCGGCACCGCGCCCCCGGGCGCCCGCCGUCCCCUAAAUCUAGUGGCGGUCCCGCUGCAGCCUCCUCUGCGUAGUAGUUUUCUCCUCGCAAGGGCAGCUCGGUGGCGACCUCGCCGUAAAACCCCCAACUUCUGAAAGGUUGACCUCGAAUCAGGUAGGAAUACCCGCUGAACUUAAGCAUAUCAAUAAGCGGAGGA